rnacentral:ncRNA from 1 species
CGGGAUUUUUAAAAAUUGAAUAUUUUAGUUCAUUUUUUUAUAUAACUUAUGAAUUAUAUGUAAGUUUUGAUUUUUAAAUAAAUCGUUAUGCAAUAAAGAUGAUUAAAUAUUAAGGAAACUUAGAUUUAGUAAAAAAUUUAAGUACUGACAAAAUUUGUGCCAGCAGUAGCGGUUAUACAAAUAGUGCAUUAUAAAAUUUUUAAGCUUUAAUUAAUUAGUUUAUUUAAAAUAUAAGUAAAAGUUUAUUAGGUGAAAUUUUAAAUUAUUAAUAAAAUUUAUUUAAAAUUAAUGAAGUUAGGAAAUUUAUUUUUAAACUAGGAUUAGAUACCCUAUUAUUUUAAAUGUAAAUAUAGUAAGCUUAAUUAUUAGAAGUUAUGGUCUUCAAAAUUAAAAAAAAUGGCGGUAUUUUAGUCUAUUUAGAGGAACCUGUUUAUUAAUUGAUAGUCCACGAAUUUAAUUACUUUUUCUUUAAGUUUAUAUAUCGUCGUUAAAAAUAUUUUUAUUGAAAUUAAAUAUUUAGUUGUUUUUUUUAAGAAAAAAUUUCAGAUCAUUAUGUAAUUUAUGAAAAAGAUUAAAUGGGUUACAUUAAAUUAAUUUAUAUUGAUUUAUUAAUAUAAUUAUUAAUAAUAAAGCGGAUUUAAAAGUAAUAUUAAUUAAAUUAUUAAUAUGAUUUAAGCUCUAAAAUAUGUACAUAUUGCCCGUCACUUUCACUUUAAAGUGGAAUAAGUCGUAACAAAGUAGAGGUACCGGAAGGUGUAUCUAGAAAGAU